rnacentral:rRNA from 1 species
CUUUGUUGGAACUGUUUUGGGGUGGGCAACCUCUUGAUGGUGCAAGAGCUUCGUGAACUAACGAAGCAAUAUGCCCUAGGAGUGGUGUGCAUGUUGGAGACACGGAUUGAUAAAACAUGUGUCAAAAGUUUAGCCGCAACAUUUGGAUUUAAUAAAAGUUUCAACAUUAGUAAUUCGGGAAGAAGUGGUGGAAUUAUUUAUUUUGGAAUAUAUAAAUAG